rnacentral:misc_RNA from 1 species
AACGCACAUUGCGCCCCCUGGCAUUCCGGGGGGCAUGCCUGUUCGAGCGUCAUUACACCACUCAAGCCUGGCUUGGUAUUGGGGCCCGCGGGAGACCGCGCCCCUUAAAGUCGCCGGCUGGACCGUCCGUCUCCACGCGUUGUGGCAACUAUCCGCGAGCGAGACCGGGCGACCCGGCCGUUAAACCCCCUCCACAGGUUGACCUCGGAUCAGGUAGGGAUACCCGCUGAACUUAA